rnacentral:sRNA from 1 species
UGGCACACGUAAAUUGGCUGUCACUCGGC